UACAGAGGUCUCAAGCGUUGUCCGGACUUACUGGGCGUAAAGGGUGCGUAGGCGGCCUGCUGCGUCGGUGCUGAAAGCGCCCGGCUUAACCGGGCGAGGCGUGCCGAUACGAGCGGGCUGGAGCCUUGGCGAGGGUGGCGGAACUCCUGGUGUAGUGGUGAAAUGCGUAGAGAUCAGGAAGAACACCCGUGGCGCAAGCGGCCACCUGGCCAAGAGCUGACGCUGAGGCACGAGAGCGUGGGGAGCGAACCGG
rnacentral:rRNA from 1 species